GGUUAAGCGACUAAGCGUACACGGUGGAUGCCUAGGCAGUCAGAGGCGAUGAAGGGCGUGCUAAUCUGCGAAAAGCGUCGGUAAG
rnacentral:rRNA from 1 species